rnacentral:rRNA from 1 species
ACCUUUUAGGAGCUAGCCGUCGAAGGUGGGACAAAUGAUUGGGGUGAAGUCGUAACAAGGUAGCCGUAUCGGAAGGUGCGACUGGAUCACCUCCUUUCUAAGGA